rnacentral:lncRNA from 1 species
UCAAACCGGGCCACUUCUGCGAGCAGCUGGGAGAGUCUCUAGGAUCAACCAGUUAGUGACCACUAGAGUAGACUGAUCUGUACUAGUUUUUCUAAAAUCCAAGGUGAGAUUAAAUAAGAGAAUAUAAAAUAAAAGCCAAAAUGACACUUUGAUUUUUUGAAAAGUAAGAGGCGGUUCGGUUCACAAUUGCUCCUAAAACGUUAUCCUGCCUGUUAAACAGUGUAGAGUGCUGGACAUACUCAUUCUAGGCCCAGGGUACUUCAUAAUUUGGUAGCAUUUAAAUAAAAUCAACUGAGUUCUACCAGUUAGUAUGUUUCCUUUCAUAUUGUUGAAGAUAAACUUGGAUUUGAAUGGCUAUUUCAUGCAGAAUAUAAAUGUCUAAAAUGCUUGGUGGUUCAACUAGUUACCCUGCAUAACUAUGGUACUAAGUAGAGUUCAGGGCAUGAUCAAUUUUUGUUUGUGUAAAGAAAAUUAAUCCUGUAUUUAGAACCAGUAAAUUGUUCUCCCAUGCUGCAAUGAUUUCAGUUAACUGAAUGCCAGCCUAAGGAAGCAUACAGCCAGGCAAUAGGAAAUCAUUUAUAUCUGGUAGCUACAGCUGAUAUUAUAUAAAACAGCAGAAACAGGAACAUGACAAUGCAUAUAAAUAACAUGUCUCAGUCCUUACCCACUGUUAAGGUUUUUCUUUCUAGGUAUUUUCAAGCAUAGCUGCCUCAACUGAAGCUGAAGCUCGAAUCUUUUGGCUUGGACUGAUUAUCUGUCCCAUUAUUUGGACAGUGUUCUCUUUUAGCACUUCGUUUUCCUUGAAGUUGACAAGGCUGGUAAGGAUGAGCUUUUUUAGGAAUUGGGCAUUAUGCUGAUUUACACUUUGAUAGACAUGAAUGAGGAGUUUGGGAAUUGCGCGGACUAACUGCUGCACUGCAAAAGAGUAAGUGUGACCUGAACAGAGAAGCCAAAAGGACCCAUUGACAAGGACUGCUUUGCAAUAAAUGAAGGUAUUUCCUUGAAAAGUGGCCUGUA